rnacentral:rRNA from 1 species
ACACUGUACAAUGGAUUUCUCGGCUCCCACAUCGAUGAAGAACGC